rnacentral:rRNA from 1 species
UACAGAGGUCCCAAGCGUUGUUCGGAUUCACUGGGCGUAAAGGGUGCGUAGGUGGCUGGGUAAGUCUGAUGUGAAAUCUCCGAGCUUAACUCGGAAACUGCAUUGGAUACUAUCCAGCUCGAGGUUUGGAGGGGGGACUGGAAUACUUGGUGUAGCAGUGAAAUGCGUAGAUAUCAAGUGGAACACCAGUGGCGAAGGCGAGUCCCUAGACAAAUCCUGACACUGAGGCACGAAAGCCAGGGGAGCAAACGGG